AGUGUGCUAGAUACAAGUAACAGUUCCAAAUACUGUACUGGUGUAGUUUUCACAUGCAGUGUAGUGUUCAACACCGAAUAUUGUGGACUAGUUCUAGACUUUACAGGAUUCAGACUGGAAACUCUGAUGUUCCUGUUCUGUGAUAGCUAAGACAUGGUGUUUUGUGGGAUACAUGUACAUGUAGUGUAAGAAUCUGUGGGCUGGAUAAAUCCCUGUAUAUGUCAGAAAUGUCAUUCAUGUGUCAAUGUCAUUCAUGUGUCAAUGUCUUCAUGUGUCAAUGUCAUUCUUGCGUCAAUGUCAUUCAUGUGUUUAUGUCAUUCAUGUGUCAAUGUCAUUCUUGUAUAUAUCAAGCUAGGUACUUAUCAAAACAAGUAAAACAGAGUAAAUGAUGAAUUUAUAAUGUACCGUUAUGAGAGUUAUUUUAUUGAAUAAUUUAAAAUUACAAAUUAUCAGUAACCAUGGUGACGUGUAAACAGAAAAAAAAUCAUAUCAAAUCAUUUCCUUAUAAAGUACAUUGUAUGUACACAUGUGUUUGGUGUUGCUUCAUAUUUAUGAUUUGUUUAUAAACAAAUAACACACUAUUAACAUUGAUUGCAGAAUGUAAUGUUAAGUUAUUAUAUAACAAUUAUGAUUGUAUUUAUUUUGACUGUAUAUUGAUAUAAUAUACUUUGUCAAUGAU
rnacentral:sRNA from 1 species